GUGAGGGCCAUUCCCUGGAUUAACUUUUUUUUAGUUUGGCUCUUUAACCAUAGUUUUAUGUCUUUGGUUUGAGUGUUAUGCUCUGCAAUCCGUGUGUAUUACAACCACUUAAAGAUUAUGUUAUACUUAUGCUCACAUUCCUAUCAUGCCUAUUCUAACGUUUACACGAAACUUCAUUAAACUAUUUCUCCAAACACCGGAUAUUGUGAUUUUACUUAUUAUUUAUAGCAAAUUUUAUUUAGAAGUCUUAAACAAAUCUAAGAUUUAAGCACAUUUUUUAUCAGCAAAAUAACGUGAGCUCCUAAGAUUAAGUACAGAUGUGCAUCAGCUUUACUUGGUUCCUUUUUUCAUUGUUGUUAGAAGUGAAGUGAAAUUUCAUCGCAAUUUUUUCUUGCUUUAGUAGUUGAAGGAAACGUUUUCAAGAAGUUGAUUCAAAAAGUAGUGUUCUGUUCCUGGUGGGUAAAGUUGCAGUGAUAGCAAAAGUAACCUUGUCUAUCUUGUUCUUGAAUAUUUACGGAGAGAGCAGAAUCCAAAUUCAGAAGUUACUCUUCCUAUCUAAUCGACGAAGAAUGCGGAGUUUUUACUAGAAGAUUUAAACUGUCCAAAGUAACGCCAUUUGGAGGUACGUUUAUUUUUUUCAAAAUAUUUUUCUUUUAAAUAGACUGAAAAUGGUCGCAAAAAAGGCGUCUACAUUUUUUUUAGAAAACUGUUUACG